UUAGAGCCACUGGGAAAGCUGUUUCUCUAUGAACUCACAUAAGAUACAAAGAAGCUGAGGCAUCAGCAUCACCGAUGGCAGCCACUGCAGAGGAACUUGCAGGUCCCACCACCUCAGCUCAGCCACCAGCACGUCAUCAGGGCUUCGCACUGACAUUGCAGUGACAGCAGACAACAUCAAUGAUGCCCUUGCUAGGUAGGAGCAGCUGUGGUGAUGGCAUUAAUGGGCACCAAGGGACAGAACUGACGCUUUUCUUCCUCAGCAAUGACUAGAGGCAUUGCCACAGCAAAAGGAGCUCUAGGAAUCUUUUCUGCUGUCAGCUCCCAGAAGCAGGAAAGGAAUCCCCAAAUCAGAACUUCUCCUUGGGCCCCCAU
rnacentral:lncRNA from 1 species